CAUCAAUUAUGUUGAGAGGAGAUCUACAGCAUUAAGAGCGCUGAAAUCCCUGUUAGUGAACAGAAAUUGAUCAAGUAGAUUUCCUUUUCUGGAGGGAGAGAGAUCCACACCACUGCAUUCUUAUUCUAACUGAUGGUCCUCGGAGGAGCAUUAAUAUCCUAAUUUUGAAAGUUAUAAUACAAAGUUCAGUUCCUCAACACUUUUUACUUAAUCUUAUAAAAUUAAACUUCAAAUCAGUGACCCAUCAUUAACUCAAAAUCUUCUCUCUUUCCAGAUUGUCCCCAGUCAACCUGCAUUGACACCACAACUUCCAAAUCCACCAGCAAGCAGCCACCCCCUGCCAACGUACCACCAACAAACAUCAUGCUCAAACACCCACAAUCCCCAAGCCAAUAGCCAACUCACUAACAAACCCUUAUUUCCUUCACCACCACCCUUUCACCAAACUAAAAAUGUUAGGGUAAUGACAUACCAAUAUGCCUAAGCAUGCGAGCAAGUCCUUUCUAUGUUAUUUCAUAUUCAGUAUUAUGAGUUUAAAGAUAUAAAAUUAUCUGGAAAACAGAACUCGUCUUCAAAUAAAAGUGGAUACUUGUUCUUGAUAUUAAGCAGUCAGGCGAGUUGGAAUAGAGUAUAUCCUUGCAAACUUAGGCACUCAGAUCCACAAUUUGAACCACAAAAUUUAAAUCAGCUUCCACAGGAUCCAGCAAAAUACAUAUUCAAAAAAGGAACAAAACAAAACAAAACAAAGAAAAGCAAAAAAGGGUACACUUCAUAAAUGAGUCGAUUGUAAAAGCAUAGUUCUGAUUCAAAUGAGAGCUUCAUAACUGAAACUGAUAUCUUUCAUGGUAAUAAAUUAAGAGAACUUACAUAGCAUCAUAUUUUCUUGCAUAAAAAUUCAUUAUUCCCUUAUACAAAUACCCAUCCCACUCAGAGAAACAUAACCCAAAAGAUAAAUCAAUGUUAAUUUUCUUAAUAACACAUUGACUCUAAAAAAAAUGACAACUAAACAGACAAACGAUUGGAGUUACUAACCUUUGCUUUUUUUGCGCUGGAAAUCCACCGUUUUCCCUUGCACCAUCAUUGCAGCCUCUCGAGCCUGAUUACAUACGAGCGCUUAGAAAUAGAUCCUCAUUUGAUAAACCAAAUUCCACCUCAGACCAUCAAAUGUAAAGAAUUGUAAUAUAUAUUCAAGCAGCUCAGGUUAAAUGCCCGGAGAAGAUCAACUUAUGUAAAAUGGAUUCACACAUUUCCUUUGCAGUAUACCUCUUAUUUAUUAAAGCCAUGAGAUUAUACUCCUCGGGCAAAAAAAAUAAAACUAGAAUAAAGUCCUCUUGCAUUGAGUUCUGUCACCCACAACCGUCUGGAUUUCAUCGGCCAAAUUCCAGGCAGUCGGCAACAUGCCACCACCAAUCAUCUAACAGUCCUAAGCUCAGUCACCAUCUUCAUCCACCACCAGUUUCCAGAAGGCCCUCAAAAAUUUCUUACUAUUACAUCUUCUGAACUUAUUUUAUGUUCCUUUCUUAUUCUGUUUUUUAGUGGAUUUCCUGAGGUGAUUUACAUCAGAUUUUGAAGUUCCUUGCAAAAAUGGAGCAUUAAAUUAUUUUGGCUAUGAUUUCUGCUAGAUCUACUUGAGAAUUCAUUGCGAUGGCAGUUCAGAUGGUAGCAUAGUCAGCAGUAGUGCCGAUGGAGGUGGAGUUUUUCCUACAUCAAAUUUAAUUCACCUACAGCCUACAUCGCAGAAAGAACUGCCCUUUUCUAGAUGGUCAGCAGUGCUCUAAACAAGUUGAUUUGUGUGAAGAAGACCCAAAAAAUGCAGCUAGUAAUCACCCUUCCCUUGAAAAGAGCCUCAAAUCUGCCGUAACAAACUUCUGCACUGCUGACAAUCUAAUUCAAUUGAAUGGUAUAUCCAGCUAUAUAACUGAUUCCAAAAGGCACAUGCCUUUUGCUAAACAUGAAUGCAUCUUUUAAAUUGCAAUUAAAUAGGGGCUAUCUAAAUUUCACAGAAACUGAUAAUGGACACAGCUGAACAUCCAAAUUGAAAGAAAAUGUGUGCAGUUAAACAGACUUAGCCCCCAUUUGGCCCCCAAACUCAUUUUCAAUAACAUAUUUCAUUGGAUGGACUCACAUAUUUAUAUAUUUUUAACCAUAAAUUUCAUGAAUUUUUAUCAAAAUCUACUAAAAAUCUAUUUUUAGCAAAACCAAACAGAGGCUUCGUAAUAAGCUGAAGCACAUAAAACCCUCCUACAAUGGCAGGGUGGUGUCCCACAGUAUAGACACUUGCACCUUAUGAAACACCACAUGGCAUGUCCCAUUUUCUAAAUGCAACAUAUAAUUAUCGACACGUGAAGGACACUUCCCCAGCACACCCUAGAUCUUGGGUUGUCUAAUUUCAUAUACAAAAGGCACGUCUUCAACAUGUCAAGCCCAAUUUUGUAAAUUUUGGAACAUAAAAUUAGGAAAAAAAAUUAAUUAUAUCAAACUAUUUGUAUAAAAUAAUCGACACGGUGUGUUUGAUUCUUCUAAGAACUUUGAGUUUGACGCAUUACCCAAAAGAAAAUCUUUGGUGCAGAAGCAGAAUUGAGUUUCAUGAAAUAAGAAUAAAGUUGAACAAACUUGAAAUAUUGUAGAUACAGUUUCAUUAUAAUGAAUUGGUCAAAUAAAAAGUGUAUAAAACAGAUAUAAGCAAAAAAUCCUUGUCCUAUUUUUGAUGCAAUUGUCCAACAUCAAUGUUCGUGACAGAUCUUCAUUGUGGAACUUCUAUAUCUACCAUAAGCAAUUUUUUAUAUUGAAUAAUUUUAUUUUGUUUCAAAUAGUACAGCAAAUAGUCACUCGUAUUCAAAAGAUUUUACCUCCAAAAUUCAAAAUCAAACCUUAAAAGAGUAUUUAUGUAAUCGAAAAUGAAAUUAUAAGAUUCAUAAAUGUAUAGUUUUAAUUGAUGUGCCUUCAUGUGUCUGCGUCCUGCCUCCCUACAGAAUUGUGUCAGUGUUCUGAGUCCUGUCUUGUUGAAAUAUAUAAUAACUAGAU
rnacentral:lncRNA from 1 species